CAAGGAAUAAGAAGACUGCACUCGUAUAAAAUUAAGAUUAAAAGCUACAAUGUGUGUGUGUGUGUGUGAGAAAGUUUGUGCUUCUGUUGCUAUGGACUGUAUCUGAUGCUCCUCUUAUGGGUCUGCCUCUAUGUCUAUGUAUUUAAGACGGCAAACAACUCAGAUGCUGCAGCUGAGAAGCAUUGAAUUUGUUGAAUUCAUUGCCAGGAUUACCUGUCAUAUAGCCACAAAGCACGAGGAAAUUAAAAAUUUCGCCAGCAACGAGCGUUAAGUGAAAACAAAGCAGCCUUUUAAUUUAACAGCAUGGCACACAAAAUAAAAAUAAAAAAAACACAAAAGCUUGAAGCUGACAAGAAAGUGUAGCAGCUGAGACAUUGUCGGCUUAGUUUAAGCCAAAAUUUGCUUUUGCCUCACAGCCAUCCAUAUGGGGCGUUCACGUCUAGACUCUGGACGCUGGCAUUGUCUUUGUUUUCUGAACCGGUCUCGGUCGUCAUCAUCAUCAUCAUCGUCAUUGUCAUCAUCAGUUGUGCGUCAUGCCGACUCAGACAGACCAUAAAAAGUAAUGCAGCUAAGUACAACUCGAUUGUUGUUGUUGCC
rnacentral:sRNA from 1 species